AGGAGGCUAGUUUAAGAAAAACCUUUGAUUUCGGCUCAAAUACUUAUGGUUAAAGUCCAUAGCCCCCUU
rnacentral:tRNA from 1 species